CUACGGGGCGCACCAGUGGGGAAUAUUGGACAAUGGGGGGAACCCUGAUCCAGCCAUGCCGCGUGUGUGAAGAAGGCCUUUUGGUUGUAAAGCACUUUAAGCAGUGAAGAAGACUCUUCGGUUAAUACCCGGGGACGAUGACAUUAGCUGCAGAAUAAGCACCGGCUAACUCUGUGCCAGCAGCCGCGGUAAUACAGAGGGUGCAAGCGUUAAUCGGAAUUACUGGGCGUAAAGCGAGCGUAGGUGGCUUGAUAAGUCAGAUGUGAAAUCCCCGGGCUUAACCUGGGAACUGCAUCUGAAACUGUUGGGCUAGAGUAGGUGAGAGGGAAGUAGAAUUUCAGGUGUAGCGGUGAAAUGCGUAGAGAUCUGAAGGAAUACCGAUGGCGAAGGCAGCUUCCUGGCAUCAUACUGACACUGAGGCUCGAAAGCGUGGGUAGCAAACAGGAUUAGAUACCCGAGUAGUC
rnacentral:rRNA from 1 species